rnacentral:rRNA from 1 species
CCUACGGGUGGCAGCAGUGAGGAAUAUUAGUCAAUGGGCGCGAGCCUGAACCAGCCAAGUAGCGUGAAGGAUGACUGCCCUACGGGUUGUAAACUUCUUUUAUAAAGGAAUAAAGUGAGGCACGUGUGCCUUUUUGUAUGUACUGUAUGAAUAAGGAUCGGCUAACUCCGUGCCAGCAUCCUCGGUAAUACGGAGGCAACGGGCGUUAUCCGGAUUUAUUGGGUUUAAAGGGAGCGUAGAUGGGGUGUUAAGUUUGUUGUGAGAGUUAGCGGCUCAACCGUAAAAUUGCAAUUGGUACUGGCAGUCUGGAGUACAGGUGAGGGAGGCGGAAUUCGGGGUGUAGCGGUGAAAUGCUUAGAUAUCACGAAGAACUCCGAGUGCGAAGGCAGCUUACUAAACUGCCACUGACAUUGAUGCUCGAAGGUGUGGGUAUCAAACAGGAUUAGAUACCCGGGUAGUC